rnacentral:misc_RNA from 1 species
UUAAGUUCAGCGGGUGGUCCUACUCGAUUUGAGGUCAAGUUGUCAGUUGUUGUCUGAAGACAGUUGGAAAGCACAGAGCUCCUGAUCAGCCACCCUCUUGCGAGGUGCCGGCGAAGAUACUUAUCACGCCGUACUAUGUCCAACCAAGAGUUGCACUAAUGCAUUUGAGGUGAGCCACAGUAAAGCAGCAACACCCAAGU